GAAUUAUUGACGAUGGGGGAAACCCUGAUCAUGCAACGCCGCGUGGAUGAUGAAGUACUUCGGUACGUAAAAUCCUUUCGACAGGGAAGAAACUCUUCGGAGCUGACGGUACCUGUAGAAGAAGCCCCGGCUAACUCCGUGCCAGCAGCCGCGGUAAUACGGGGGGGGCAAGCGUUGUUCGGAUUUACUGGGCGGAAAGGGCGCGUAGGCGGUUUGUUAAGUCGGAUGUGAAAACUGGGGGCUCAACCCUCAGCCUGCAUCCGAUACUGGCAAACUAGAGUGCGAGAGGGGAAGGCGGAAUUCCUGGUGUAGCGGUGAAAUGCGUAGAUAUCAGGAGGAACACCGGUGGCGAAGGCGGCCUUCUGGAUCGCAACUGACGCUGAGGCGCGAAAGCUAGGGGAGCAAACAGG
rnacentral:rRNA from 1 species